UGGCAAUGAGGAAAAAAAGGCCGGACUUACGGCUGCUACCUAGUCUAUUGUUGGUAGUAGAUUGAUGAAUUUCAAGCAAGGUAUUUUUCACUGAGCCAG